rnacentral:lncRNA from 1 species
CUGGGUGUCCCGUUUUCCCCCUUCACACUGUCUGCAGAGCCUCUCCUGCUUUCACCCUCCUCCAGUCCCUGCCCGGGAGAGAGAUCUGAGGCUGGCUAAAAGCAAAGAGACCAUUUAGCUUCUCCAGGGGGGAUUAGCAACAGCCUCUGGUGCUAAAGAAUUGAUGUGAUUAUCCUUGGAUAUAGCAAUAUUUUGCUCUCUCCAUUUCUGAUUGUGACCGUGGCUGCUGCAUUCUCUUUAAUUUAUGUUGCAGGGACUCCAAACUGCGUCUCCCCCUGUGAUCCUGGACUCCGGAUACAAUUAGCAAAAAUUAUCAACAGUCACAUUGCCGGCGAAGCCAGACGAGGAAGCAGUUUAAGCUGUGAAUUUCUUCUUCACCCCACAUAGAACAGUGACGACCAUCAUUUUUGUCUUCACCAUAGAGAGAUGCUUUGUGAACAAGGUGAGGAUUUAAUGCUUUUUAUUUCUCUCAUGAGGGUACACUGCCCUUUCUUUUGGU